AAAAAAAUAUAAAACAAAGAAGAAGUUCGAGGAACCGAGAGAGAGAAAGGGAAAAUGUGAAGAGAGAAUGUGAUUUUUGAAGGAGAUAAAGGGAAAAGAAGAUGGAAUCAAGAGUUUGAGAUUUUCAUAGGCUUGGAUUCCAAGAUUUCUUCAAGAUUGAGGUUUGAGCUUGGAUUGAAGUGUGGAGAUAGGAGGAGAAGUGGUUGAGCUAAGGAUUGAAGAUUUGGGGCAAGGUUAUUGAACUUGGAAGAUUGGUGGCUAGAGUUGUGGUGAGAUUUUGCUCAAACGAGGUGAUAUAGGUACUAGCGCUAGUGCUCCGACUACGGAUCAGCAGGGAGGCGUGUGACGUGGAUGGCCUGGACUAGUGUUGGUGUAGUGGUAUGCUUUUAUUAUGU